GGGCGUGUAGCUCAAUGGCAGAGCAGCGGCCUUUUAAGCCGUUUGUUGAGGGUUCGAUCCCCUCCACGCUCACAA
rnacentral:tRNA from 2 species